GUGCUUGCUUCGGCAGCACAUACAUUAAAAUUGGAACGAUACAGAGAAGAUUAGCAUGGCCCCUGCGCAAGGAUGAUACACACACACACACACACACACACACACACA